rnacentral:lncRNA from 1 species
GCUCGGGAGCGCGGCCCGGGCGCUGAUUGGCUGCGGCCGCUUCCUGCCCGGGGUCCCCGCGGCGGAGGUUGUUGCAGCAGUGGAACUGGCAAUGUCUCGACCCAGACGCCAUGGGUGAUGGCAACAGGAACAAUCAAGGAUGAAGUAAAUACACUUUCAAAGCUUGCAACUAAAUCAGGAGAUCGAUUUGCAAGAUCUUUGUGCAUGAGAUGAGUCCCUGAUCCAGCUUCAGCAGUUCUGGGUCCGCAGCAGCUCCAGCAGCACCACGAGGAAGCUCAGCAGCCUUAAAACACAGUGGAGCACAUGGGGUUUGGCACAGGAUCCCCCCAAAAAGGUGCAGACUCACGGUGCAGCUUCCGAGCCCCAGCAAUUUUUAGUGUUAAACGUGAAAAAAGCAAGAGAGUAAGAUGUCCUUUGAAACAAAAGUAGAUUUUUGAACAUCAAAACCAGCUUAGAAAUUAAAAUCUUAGCUGCUUGCAAACCUGUUCGUAAUUAACAAUGAAAGGGCUUCCAGGGAGGAAUUCAAAUAGUGGAUGCUCUCUGUCCCAAAUGAUUCUUUCUGGCUAAUUUUCCUUCCUCACACCCUGAAAUACCCAAGGUGUGUGCAUGAGAAAUGUGCAUAAUAAUGAAGCUGACAAGAACAAAGACACGGCGAGGCAAAGAAAAGGCUGCAAUUUGCAAGUUUAAUUUCACGCUCAGCCAGGAUUUGAUCAAGGAGAGGAGGGAUGGGCUGAGGUUUGGGGGUACAUACAUAUUCAUGAUAUGUAUUUGUAAUAUAUUGAGUACAAGGCAGGGGAACAGAGGAUAAUCCCACGUUGCCUAUGUGCAGGAUUCCAUCCCCCAAAAGCUGCCCAGAUUGUCCAUUUUGGAGUGAUUUUAGCCCAAACAUCAGCCAUACCCACGUGGGGGUAACUUACAUCCUGCAGAUACCGCACUGCAGGGCCUUUGGACAUAUGGAAAAUAGCUGUGGCUCCUCAAAGCUCCCAUCUAUGCAAGGAGCAUCCCAACAGCAAAAAGCAAAUGAUGGAGGACAGGAAGAGGGUUUGGAGGCUUUGAACCUCAGCAGAGCAAUGAGCUGGUCCUUGGAUACAAGUGAUGUCUGACUUUUUGCUGCAUCAGAGACAACCUCAGCCCUGCUCACUUAGGAGGAACAGAGCAGACAGACCUUGGAUGUGGCCGUCCUGGGCCUGGGGACAGUGAGUCACUCACCGCCGACUGAGCGCAGAUGUUUGGGGUCUGAGCACGUGGCAGGAGGCUGCUUUAGACAGCUCAGCAGUUUGGGUUUUUUUUUUUUGCAAAACACAGCGGUCAUUCAUAAGUGCAGAGCGCAGUGAUGGACUCCAGAUGCAGCCACACACACAAAAAACACCCAGCGGGAUGCUAGCAGUGUGGAGAAGGAAUAUUUUCUUACAGGGGAAAGUCACAAGGCUUUUCUUUUCCUCAGCAACACCUCUGCAAAAUCACUUUCAGCGUGGCUUUCAGUCAAUUCAUGAUUUGAAAUAAUAAUUUUUAUCUCUAAAGCCAUUCCUGAUUGAUUUAUUUUUUCUCUUGACUCUGGAAACCACAGACUGAGUUUAUGCAUGAGAGAGCAAGCAGAAUGGAGACCUGGGUAGUGCCCAAGUGCAGUGCAGCACUGCAGGAUGGGGUCACAGUGUCCCAGGUGGUGACACUUGGGUCAAUCCCAAAUGCAGAUCUUCAGAAGAUAUCAUAGAAUCCUUAGAGUUGGAAGGGACCUUUGAAGGGCAUCGUGCUGGUGAAGAACAAAAGAGGUCUGUCUGGGCCAUUAUGUAUUGGACCUGCUUGCACGCAAGGCACGCCUGCUGUUAGGAUGUGGAUGGACACACAGCAGUGGGAUUGGGAUGAUCUGAAGGGAAAUAAAGAGCUGGGACGGAAUAACCUCAUCCUGUUGCUCACAGAGCAGCUGAUUUGGGGAAGCAGAGCUGGUGCACCACAUUUCCAGCCUCACCCACACAUGUUUGGAACCCAUCCUGCACUGCACAGAAGAGCUUUUCCAAGAAAAGCCCUUCCCAAAAGCAGCUCCUCCAUCUCAGCAUCCUCCUCCUCCUCCUCUUCCUCCAAGGCAGCUGCCAGCAAGGAAAGAAGCAUGGCAACUGCAGAAAUCACCAUGAAGCUCGGCUGGGGCUGCUGCUUUUGGCUUAUGCAUCCCAGCUGUCCCAAGUGCAUGAUGCACAAGAUGCCAUAUUCGCACCGCUACCACCUCGCAGUCCUCCCAUCACCAUCUGCUUAGAGCUGGGCCCCCUGGCAGCUGCCUGGUGGGAAGUCAAAAGGAACCGUCGGCUUUUUAAGGGCUUUUGCAGAAUGGGAGACACCUACUUGCUCCAGAUAUCCUUGCCACCUGCUUAGGAACGGUCCUACAAGAAAGCAGGAGAUCCCCACUUACAAAACCAUAAAACCUGAUGAUGAACCCAAAAAUCAGCCAUUCUCCUGUGAUUUCACAGCAGCCUGAUGGUCCAUGGAACAGCUUCAGGGGUGGUCUGCAGCAUGGAGCCCCUCAUUCUCACCUGGGGACAUGGGCAUAAGCCCCGUCUGCCCAAACUAAAGCAACCCAACCUAAUUCAACCCAACACAAGCUGCCCCGACAAAAGGUGGCAGGUAGCCUCAGGGCAGUUAUUUGAGCUCAUGCAAGCACACUUCUCUAGCAGCUUUUCUUAUUAUUUAACCUUUAGCCUAUGGUCUAAUUUGCUCUGUGCUCAAAUCGAGCCCAAAGUAGGGCAGGUGUCAUCAGAAACCCAAGACAACCAUGACCCUCUGCGCUAUCUGCUUUUUUCUGGAGACUGUUCCUAUAAGGUUCCCACAAGGUCCCUUCUAACACAUCCUUUACUGUUUAGGGUUUGCCCUGCCCUGUUAAUCAUCUCUUUUUUUCUUUUUUCUUUUCCCCAAAAGGAGUUCUGCUUUCUAAAAGCACAUGGGAAGGAGGUUUCAGACUUUCCACUGAAACUGGCUUUUUCCUCCUCCCGUGCUUCCCUAAAACUGUAAUUCAAACAACUUUAAUUGUACAUUAUUUUCUUUCUGAAUUGCCCCUAUGGAUAAUUUAUCCUCUUUUAGUGUAGCUGUGGGGAGUACAAUCUUAUCUUUUAGCUCCAGCAACGCUGACAAUUUCCUAUCUUCUGAUGCCUUCUGCUCUUCACUACGUUGGGGCUUUGUUACAUAGUUGAUUAAAGCAAAAUUGCUUUUUGCUGCAAUUUUACCGCAAUCUAACCCAGAAAUGCCCAAAGAAUCAUAGUCAUCUUUCACAAUGCUCAUCUGUUAGCUGCUAUAAAAGUCCUCCCUGCUCAGUCUGGAGUGCCUCUAAUUCUGUACCAGCCAUAAUAUUUGUCAUCAAUUAAAUCUCCUCUAUUGACACUCCUCUGAGCUUCUGUAGUUGAGAUACUGAAGAUAUCCAGCCAAACCCACGGUCACUCACUGCCAUCCCCUAUUCUUCAUUUUCUCUUUUUAAUACAAAAAUCCUUCAGCAGAAAUUGCUUUUCUUUUUGUAUCUGCAACCAAAAGCUUUUGCCAGCUCUCUGCCACAGCUUCCUCAGUGCACCUUUCUGGAAGGUUUUCAGGCUGCUUGGCUAUGAAUCAUGGCCCCAUGAUCCUAUACAUCGUAUGGAGAUGUGCUGCUCCAUGCCCCAUCCCUCCUUUUCCAGUUCUGUGGGAAAAAUAUAGAAUCACAGAAUCAUAUAUCCAAGCAUGGUGUGAAAAUGCCCCUUUUCUCUGCCCUGGGGAUGCUGUGGAGUUUUACCAGGUGAACCCAUACAUGCAAGGAUGGGGACACUGAGUUCCCACCUACGUGGGAUGGGGUCUGUGGGAAGCGGCCCCUUGCAGCAGACAGUGGGUCCGUCCAUUGAAAGGGGUAUGUGGGGGACGUCUUAGCCAUGAAGGCUAAAACACACCACAUGUUUAUCUGACCUCCUAUAUCACACAGAAUUAGGAAAACAGGUUGAGCUGAGCUAAUUGUAUCAUUUACCAUAAUGUAAAGGCAGGCUAACACCUUUAAUCUUGAUUUAGCUGAUAAAGGUUGACCAGCAGAGGAUGGAAUAUAAGCAUAAUGUAUGAUAAAUAUAAUAAAUCACAUGGACAUGUGUAGUGUCCAUCAUGCGAGCAGUCUGUGCCGCCAUGGGCUGUUGUUUGCAAGUGCUAUAAUGAACUCCUGGCCAGCUUGUUCCCUCCUCUGGCCCUCAAAUGAUCCAAGCUUUAUUGUCUUCAUUUCAUUUUAAUUAUAGGCAUUUAGUCAAACGGAUCAGUGUUUCUGCCUGGUUGGUUGGCCGUGUGCCACUGGGACCCCAGGCAGACAGCACGAGGACUGCAGUCGAUGCUGAGCCAUGAUAGCACAGUGCUCAUCGAUGUCAGGGUCAUUGGGCUGCCUUCUGCUUCACCUCUCCAAAACCCAGCCUGAGCACCCAGGAGUGCUGCAUUAGGAGGCACCGUACAUUAUGGGGAGCUGGUGAGAGCCCACAGCUAACUACAGCCCUGACAUGAAGGUGUACUGCGGAGACCCUCGAUGCUGUGUUUUGGGGAUGGGGUAAGAGUUCCUACUUCUUGGGGAACACAAAGCAUUAGCAUGUCAGAGUGCUGGAGGCACUGAUGGUGCUGAACAGACUCCCCUGGGACCCACACCUGCCAAUGGCCCAGGAGCCUAUUUAAGGCCAAUGCAGUGCCCUUGAUCCUUGCUUGAGCUAUGCAAGUGCUGGUCUUCAGGUUCAGCCUCAGCUAUGCUCAUAAUCCAUGCUGGCUGUGUUGACCUGAGU